UAUAAGUGAUAUCAUAUGGUAUUUGUCCUUCUCUUUCUGACUUACGUCACUUAGUAUGAUAAUCUCUACUUGCUGCAAAUGGCAUUAUUUUGUCCUUUUUUAUGGCUGAGUAGUAUUUCAUUGUGUGUGUGUGUGUGUGUGUGUGUGUGUGUGUGUGUGUGUGUGUAUCUGUGUGUANUGUGUGUAUAUAUAUAUAUAUACUACAUCUUCUUAAUCCAGUCAUCUGUCAAUGGACAUUUAGGUUGUUUCCAUGUCUCGGCUCUUGUGAAUAGUGCUACUAUGAACAUACAGGUACAUGUAUCUUUUUUAAUUAUAGUUUUGUCCAGAUAUAUGUUCACAAGUGGGAUUGCUAGAUAUGGCAAUUCUGUUAUUAGUUUUUUGAGGAACCUCCAUACUGUUUUCCAUAGUGGUUGUACCAAUUUACAUUUUCACCAAUGGUGUAGGAGGGUUCCCUUUUCUCCACACUCUUUCCAGCAUUUUUUUUUUUUUUUUGGUCUUUUUGCCAUUUCUUGGGCUGCUCCUGCAACAUAUGGAGGGUCCUAGGCUAGGGGUCAAAUCGGAGCCAUAGCCACCGGCCUAUGCCAGAGCCACAGCAAUGCAGGAUCCGAGCUGAGUCUGCAACCUACACCAGAGCUCACGGCAAUACAGGAUCCUUAACCCACUGAGCAAGACCAGGGAUCGAACCCGCAACCUCAUGGUUCCUAGUCGGAUUCAUUAACCACUGAGCCACAACGGGAACUCCUCCAGCAUUUGUUAUUUGUAGACUUAUUAAUGAUGUCUAUUCUGACCAAUGUGAGGUGGCACCUCAUAUUAGUUUUGAUUUACAUUUAUCUAAUAAUUAGUGAUGCGAGCAUCUAUUCGUGUGCCCACUGGCCUUCCAUAUGUCUUCUUUGGAGAAAUGUCUAUUUAGGUCUUCUGCCCACUUUUCAAUUGGGUUGCUUGUUUUUUUGUUGUUGAGUUGUAUGCAUUGUUUGUAUAUUUUGGAGAUUAAGUCCUUGUCGGUUGCAUCAUUUAAAAAUAUUUUCUCCCAUCCUAUAGGUUUUCUUUUCAUUUUUUUUUUUUAAUGGUUUCCUUUGCUGGGCAAAAGCUUGUAAGUUUGAUCAGGUCCCAUUUGUUUAGUUUUGUUUUUAUUUCUACCUCUUCCCUAAUGUUGAGACUAAAAACACUAACAUUCAUACAUAUAUCACAAAGAAGGAAACCGUGAAAAUUAUUCUCUAUUCCCAAUGAUAUAGAGAGUUUAAAAUCAUUUACAUUAGCAAGAAGUGGGGGUACUGCAAGGUCUCACAAUUUUUGUGUAAAGAAAGAGGAAAUAUAAUGAGUUAUCUGUCACCACUUUUUUUUUUUUAAUUCUCUUGAGGGACAAUUGAAGAAGUCCAUUUUGACGUUCAGAGGUGGGGAAUAAAUUGGUUUUUUUGUACUGUAUUUCCUGUUAUAUUUCCAGUUAGGAUGUAAAAUCUUGGGAAUAGCAUUUUGGUUUUCCCAAGUGUUCAUUUUGUUCAAAGCAAAUUAGUCAGAGAAUCACAACCUGUCUAAAUCUAUCAUCAUUAGGGCCCUUGAUCUCAGAACACUACUGUGCUGACUCCUGAGAUAAGUCUUUAUGCCAGAAAUCCUAUUAUUUAGAAGUACAACAAAAAUAACAAUCGGAGAUGACAUCAGGAUGGUGAGAACAUUACACUCUUCUUCUCUGCAUAUCAGAAGAAGCUCACAUCCGCUCAUUACUGGCCAAAGCGACAUUCAGGAGCCUGCAAAAUAUCUGGUUGGCUCCAACAUAAAUAAUCUUCUGUCCUCUGGGAAAAAAUCUUUUUUUACUCUAUAGCUUCAGAAAGACCAUUGACAUGGGUACACAAACAUCUUCUGGAGAUGGUGUGGAAAUAUCACCCAGUGAGUUGAGGACAGGUAAGGACGUGUGUUUACACUUGUGAAACAGACACUGCUUGGAGUGUACCCAGCACUUUUGUCCACAUGUCCCUUCUCCAUCCUUCGCCUCUGGCUUAUGUAAAGGCUUUAUAGAGAGUAUUGGUUGGGGGGUGAGGGAAGUGUGCUGUUAGGUGGAAGAAACUGGCCUGAGUUCAAUCCAGAUAAAACUGAAGAGAUGAUACAAGGCGAGAGGAAACAUCUGGAGCACCUGGCAGGGGUCAUUUUAGGCUCCUCGCCUGGAGUAACUCAUUAUUGACUCUCCUUCAUUGUUGGCUUAUAAUCUGGCUUUUCCUGCUAUUGCAGAUUUCUCUAAAAACAAUAGGAUAAGAGCAAACAUUACCAUCUGUUUGCAAGAUGUCCUCUGGAAUCUCGCAUGCUUCCAUAAUUUACAGCUAGUUGGGGUCUUAAGCUGCUCCUCAAAACACUACUUAACUAGAAAAACAUGUAACAGGGAAACUCCGUGGGAUCUCCCUGGAUCCCUCAUAUCUGAUCACAAAUCUAAGAAAUCCCUGCAAGUGCCUUGCUCAGGUCUGCCUAGGCUGAGGCAGGAGACAGUACAUGUAUCUGGAAUGUUCAGAGAAAAGAAGCAAUUAAAAAAUAUUUAUUUUAUUGUGAUAAGAACACUUUACCAUCUCAAAUUUUAAGUGUAUGAUAUGAUACCCGUGGUUUCAGUAUUACACAGUAGAUCUUUAGAACUCACUCCUCUUGCUUCACUGAAAUGUGGUGCCCGUUGAUUAGCAGCGCUCCAAUUGCCCCCUCACUUCAGCCCCUGGCAACCACCCCUCCUCUCUAGUUGUGUGAAUUUGACUGUUUUAGAUUCCAUAUAAGUGGAAUAUGUAGUAGUUAUCCAUCUGUGAUUGCCUCAUUUCACUUAGCAUGUCCUCUAGCUUCACCCACGUGACUUGAAAUAUGGAUGUUUAAGGAGGUAGAAUCGAGACCCACUGGAUACAGAAGCCCUGUGAGCACAGGCAAACCUCGCUAGGCUCAUCCAGCAGGUGUUUCUAGGUCUUCCAGAGAGCCUGGCUCUAACACUGACCCUUAGGAACGGUGAAGCAAUUAUUAGAACUCAUUUAGUUGACACACCACAGAUACCGCUUUAGAGAACAAAUUUUAAAGUCUUUUGACUUGCCCCUUUUCUUUAACUUUCUCCAAAAUCUAGGUACUUUUGUGAUCCUUAGCCCUUCCCCCAAUUCAGUUACAAAUUUCUGUGCAUAUUUCAAUCCCAAUGUGUCAAUCUUAAUAUAUGUAUAAACACAGCUCUUUGGUGACUAAAUUAAUUAAAUGGACAUCUUAUUAAUGGCAAGAAUAAGAAAAAGCAGCUCCUGGGGAUUUCAGUUUCAAUCACUAUCACAUUACCCUUAAUUACACAUAGAGCCAAAAUGAGAUUUACACCUCUGAACAUUUCCCCAUAUUUUUUUCAAGGCGUUCCUUACAAUAUACUCAUUGCGCCACAAAAAAAUUGCUGUUCUUAAGUUACCGAAUCGAAUCAGGUCUCAGCAAGUUCCCAACUCCCCUAUUUUAUUGGAAUGUUAAUGCACAAAAUAGGUCCUAAAUUUAAGGAUGCCAUUAACUUACACUUGAAGAUCUGUUUUGGAUGUCAGAGAUGCUAACUUUAGUCGUAUUUGUUGUAAUAGCUCUCGAGUCAAACUUUUCCUUUGCGCAAAUACCAUUUUUAUGGGAUAGCUCAUUCUGCAAAAAUAGAUUUUAUUUUGUAAUGAAAAUUAAAUGAUGUCAACAACAUAUGUCAAUCUUCCUUUUUACUCUGCUCAUAAAUUACAGAAAUAUUAAAUAACUUUUAUGUUAUCUUUUUCUGUCAGUCACAUUUAUUUUAGAAGACGGGCAUUUUUAUUAAAACAAUAUUACUUGACUCAGAAAUGUGUGGAAACCGUGGGGAUGGAAGAACAGUCUGGAUAGGACCCCAUUAGGACGGAUAAUGUAACACUCUCUGGGGGCAGAUCCUCUCUGCUCUGCUGCAUAAUGAUGCUGGGGGGCCAGGACGUCUCAGUCAGGUACACAACCCAUGUUAAUAACAGCUACCGGUAUCAAGGGCUCGCCUGGAGCCUUGCAAUGGUAUUUACGUACACUAGUCAUUGAACACUAACACCAAACCUAGUGUUGACACUGUUAUACACACUUUAAGAUGAGGAAAUUGAGACGUUCCCUGGUGGCCUAGCAGGUAAGGAUCUGGCUCUGUCACUGCUGUGGCUGUGGCGCAGGUCUGAUCCCUGGCCUGGGAACUUCUGCGGGUGCAGCCUCCCCCCCCCCCAUUUUUUUUAAUCUUUUUUAAAGAUGAAGAAACUGAAUCCCAGUGCGAUGGAGCAGCUUGGCCAGUUAGUCACUGCCAGAGCCAGAAUGUGAACAAUAAUAACAGAUGCCCAUUAUAGCAGCGAGCUUCUCUGUGACCAAAACUAUUUUCAUAAAUACCAUUUCUUCGUUUUUCUCUUUCAUGAAUAUACAAUCUAGUUUUCCAGAAGCCGUGCAUAGACAGAAGCCCUCUGACAGCUACUAGAAUGUGGGCUGGUGUAUUCUGGAAUGCUAAAAAAAAAAAUGGAUCACUUUUCAUUUCUAACUUUCAUUCAUGGGAAUAACCCACAUAAACAAAAUUUCUUUGGAGUCCUCAACAAUUUUCAAGUGCGAAGCAGUUCUGAGACCACAGAGUUUGAGAAACAGCACUGUGUUGGACCAUCUUCCACAGAUUGAAGAUACUCCAACUUCAUAUUUCAAAGUAGCCCAGUAAAAAAAAAACAGUGACCCUGCUAAGGAAACCUCGUCAAUAAGGUAUUACCAAAGUAAGCAAACAAAAACACAGGGUUUGUGUUGUAUUUUACGGGGUGGGAGUUUUCAUUUCACGGUUGACAAGAAACGGUGGGUUGCUUCUCAGAUGUAGUUUCAUAAUAGAUUUUCACUGAAUCCAGGGGACGCCAAAUGAGCUGCUUUGGGAGCAAGGCCACCCAGACCUUCUCCUCUAUCUCUUCUAGUAAAUUUCCCUCCUCCGUGGGCUGUGAGUGGAAAGAUGAAAAGCCUGGUGGAGGGUCUAUAGUCAGACUGCCUGCUUUCAAAUUCUGGUUUACCAGCUAUAAACCCAGAGGCAAGUUAUACUUACCUUGUCUGAACCCAGUGGUUGACGAAUCCAAUUAGGAACCAUGAGGUUGCAGGUUUGAUCCCUGGCCUUGCUCAGCAGGUUAAGGAUCCAGCGUUGCCGUGAGCUGUGGUGUAGUUUGCAGACGCGGCUUGGAUCCCACGUUGCUGUGGCCCUGGCGUAGGCUGGUGCCUACAGCCCCGAUUAGACCCCUAGCCUGGGAACCUCCAUAUGCCACGGGAG
rnacentral:lncRNA from 1 species